UCAAGCCUGAAGAAGUUUAGGAAGAGUCUCUCAAGACCAAAGUGUCAUGAUUCCCCCUUGAAGCAGCGUGCUCUAAGCGCGAAUGCGUGAGCACCUGCUUUUCCGUUGUUGACCGUAGUGACAUCUGGACACGUGUGUUUUGUUUGUUUCUGUCAUGUCUCCUCCCUGUUCUGUCAUUGGCUGGGAUUUCACGUGGGUCUGUAUUGCUCUCAGCUGCUAGCGGUUUAGACGCUGAUCAUGUCCACAUAUAUACCGCGUGCCUUCCAGCACACAACGUGGAACAUUAUCGUAGAGUUAGUUUAGUUCGUAUCGUAUCGUAUCGUAUCGUAGUCGUAGUCAUAGUCAUAGUCAUAGUCACGGUCCAUGUUUAGAGUUAGUUCGCGCUGGAUUAUCCGCUCCCAGUUCCUCGUCAUAGUUCGUUUCUCGUUUUGUUUAUCGACCCUGUUUUCCGUGACCAUGACCUAGAUUCCAGCCUUGCCCCGUGUAUGCCUGUUUUCCAAUCGCCUGACCUCUUGCAUGUUUGCGGAUUACGUUUUGGAUCACGUUUUGGAUUUGUCUGCCUGUCUCUCUUUCAAAUAAACAACUGUUCAUCCUGCACUUGCAUCCGUCCUAUCUCCGCUCCGUCACGAUACGUGACACAAAGAAGGUGAGGAAGAGUUUCUCAAGACUUAAGAAGUUGAACUGAAAGGAAGUGUCUCAGGUCUGAAGAAGUUGAAGGAGAGGUUUAAAAAAUAAGGAACUGGAUGAAGUGGUUCUCAAAACUGAGGAAGUUCAAGAAGAACCUUUCAAGCCUGGGGAAGAAAAGGAAGAGUCUCUCAAGACCAAGGAAGGUGAGGAAGAUUGCUACAAAGCUGAAGAAGAGUCUCUCAAGUCUGAAGAAGUUGAGGAAGAGCGUCUUCUCUUCUCUCCACUUGGGCAGGAAAACCAUCCAUGAGCUGCAGUAAAAUGUAGCCUUAGUGUUUGUCGAUACAGUGGGGGUCAUGAUGUCUGAGUCCAGCAGCAAGAAUUGACCAUUUUACUCAACUGGCCAGAUGUGUCGUUAUCUGUAGCAUCCCUGCUGGUGCCUCUACAAAUUACACCUGCAACAUGAGGGGUCGUCAUGUGAACAUCAUUCCCGAUGUUAUCCAGGCUCUCACGCUCUGUGAAGUGGAAGUCUAUGGGGUUCCAGUGCCUGUUACUAAGAGGGCAUUUCUGAGAUUGAAGUUUAACAGCAGUGAGGAUCUUAUGAACCCUACUGUGAGGGACAAAAUUCUUCAAAAGAUGAUAUCUGCCAAUGUCCAGCCUUCAGUGCGUCAGAUCCGUUGGACUAAGGAACCAGAGGUGGAAAAAGAAACUUAAAAAACGGUGGCAGAAAUAUAUCUGAAACAACAAGAAAAAGAUGAAGUGGAAGAAGAAGAAGAAGUGUUCAAAGAACAAAAAGAAAAAAAAUCAAAUGUGUGAGGUUUGUGUGUAGCACUUGAAAAUACUAGCUAACUGAUGUUAUAGGUUUAUUAAUUAGAAGUACUAGAAGUUUUUUAGUUUAUUUGUUUGGGAAAUGUAUCUAUGAAAAAUUACCACAGGGUUUGUACAAGGUGCUUGAAUUUGGCAUUUGGAAAUAUAAGUACUGGAAGACCUUAAAUAGCCUUUUUUUAUGUAACAGUGGUUAAAAAGUGCUUGAAUGUUAUUUAUUUAUUGACUUUUUAUCAAUCACUUUAAAGGGUUUAUUUUCAAAAGAACACGAAUACAACCCUUUCACUCAAAAUAUGACUCCCCGCUGCAGCCCCUCCUCCUCCUGCUGUUCACUCAUUCAUUUUAACAGGCUUCGGACCACUUCUCAGACCCCUUUAGCAACUUUUUUUUUUUUUAAAGCACCUAGCGACAUAUCUAGAGACUUUUCAGACAAACCUUAGCUACUUUCCGUAGAAGAGAAUGGCCAGUACUGCCUGGUGAGUGCGAGGUCCUGCUUUCAGAAACAGAAAAAAUAUGUAAAUGAGAACAGCUUUAUUGGGAAUUCGGCUGUAUUAAAAUUCAGCAUGUGAGCACAGAGAGUAGGAUGUAUUAUAAAGGGCUGACUCUAGGCAGAGUGAAAAUACGAUGCAAUGGUGAAAUUAUGGUGAAAAUGAAGCAAUGACUGGGAAAUACAAAUUUAGUCCAUCACGGCUGGGAAAAGGGGCUAUAUUAAAAUGGUUGUUUAAAAAAAUAUAUAUAUUUAUUAUUAUUAUUAUUAUUAUUAUUAUUAUUAUUAUUAAUAUUUUUUUGGAAAUGAAGGAUAUGUUUGAAUGACAUCUCUUGUAUAGUCCUUGAAAGAAAAAAAGUGCUCAAAGUCCUUGAAAGUCCUGGAAUUUCAUUAUGAAGCAUCUGUACAGUACAUCUGUACUGUACCUGCUAUAUGUACUAUGCGAUUGAUGUAUUAAACAUGCCUCUUGAUUUCUGGGUUUAGCAUAGUUAUACCUCGGUUUGAGUUUAAAACAAUUGCUAGAUUUUCUGGUAGAAUAUUGCUAGUUAAGUUUCUCUCACAGAUAUUAUUGAGUAGAUAAAGUAUAUUCAGUAGCUUUUCUGGGAUAGUGAGAAUUUAGGUUAAUAUAGUAGAAAACAAAACACUCAGAUUAUCCUGGUUAUAAGAACUGCUCAUUCAUCUGUACACCUUUACAGUUUUCACUGCAGAUAUAUCAUCAGCUUUAUUGAACAAGACUCAGAAUCCUUGACACCUCCCAGCCAAUCAGUCAUCACAGUCAUGAUGAAUUUUUGUAUGGUUGGAAGCAUGUUUAAAACACAAAGUGCUGUGAUCAUGUAAGAAUGAGGUUUUACUCACUGGCAUAAAUGUGUUCACUUUAAACUUUGUUCCUUCCCUUAAACACUUACCUGCUUGAGAAUUUCCAAUGUUUGUAGAAUGAUGAUUCUCAGUACAGCACAUUGCCAAGUAUUAAUGGGCUUUAAAUUUAUUUAUUUGUGACAAUUAUGGGAUUUUCUAAUUUGUUUAAUAUGUGAACUUCUUAUCACUCCACCGUAGAAACAAAACAAAAAAAACCCAAACCACUAAAUGCUGGCUUCAUCUUCUUUUAACUUGAUUGUCAGUGCUCAACUCAAACCAACAGCAGUAUUAUUAAUAAUAUCAGGAAUGAUUGUGUCUAAAAUCAACCACUGAUUAUAUCCCACUUGUUUGUUUCUAGAUUGUAUGAUUUAUUUAGCCAAAUCUAAACUCACUUCUCCAUUUGUGUAACUGGAUACUCAGGAUAAUGAAAUUUCACUCUC